AUACGGAGGAUCCGAGCGUUAUCCGGAUUUAUUGGGUUUAAAGGGAGCGUAGGUGGGAUAUUAAGUCAGCUGUGAAAGUUUGGGGCUCAACCUUAAAAUUGCAGUUGAUACUGGUUUCCUUGAGUACGGUACAGGUGGGCGGAAUUCGUGGUGUAGCGGUGAAAUGCUUAGAUAUCACGAAGAACUCCGAUCGCGAAGGCAGCUCACCGGGCCGGAACUGACACUGAUGCUCGAAAGUGCGGGUAUCAAACAGGAUUAGAUACCCUGGUAGUCCGCACAGUAAACGAUGAAUACUUGUUUUCGGCGAUAUAAUGUCGGAGGCGAAGCGAAAGCGAUAAGUAUUCCACCUGGGGAGUACGCCGGCAACGGUGAAACUCAAAUGAAUUGACGGGG
rnacentral:rRNA from 1 species